GGGUCGGUGCCCGAGUGGUUAAAGGGGGCGGAUUGUAAAUCCGCUGUGUCAUGCUACGUUGGUUCGAAUCCAACUCGGCCCA
rnacentral:tRNA from 1 species